rnacentral:rRNA from 1 species
GAUGAACGCUGGCGGCGUGCCUAAUACAUGCAAGUAGAACGCUGAAGGAAGGAGCUUGCUCUUUCCGGAUGAGUUGCGAACGGGUGAGUAACGCGUAGGUAACCUGCCUGGUAGCGGGGGAUAACUACUGGAAACGAUAGCUAAUACCGCAUAACAGUAGAUGUUGCAUGAUAUCUACUUAAAAGGUGCAAUUGCACCACUACCAGAUGGACCUGCGUUGUAUUAGCUAGUUGGUGAGGUAACGGCUCAACAAGGCGACGAUACAUAGCCGACCUGAGAGGGUGGUCGGCCAACCUGGGAAUGGGACACGGCCCAGGAUCCUUCGGGAGGCAGCAGGAGGGAAUCUUCGGCAAUGGACGGAAGUCUGACCGAGCAACGCCGCGUGAGUGAAGAAGGGUUUCGGAUCGUAAAGCUCUGUUGUAAGAGAAGAACGAGUGUGAGAGUGGAAAGUUCACACUGUGACGGUAUCUUACCAGAAAGGGACGGCUAACUACGUG